rnacentral:rRNA from 1 species
AUGUACAUUCCUACAACAUAACGUUAAUGCACCAUAUCCCAUUAGAAAUCCACAGUUAAGUGCUCUCAGGUUAGAGUAGUACUGGAAUGGUGGACCACACGAGAAGUCCUAGUGUUUUCCAUG